AUUGGCAAACAUACGGAGUGUGUUUUACCCACGGCCAUCCCGUCGUAGGAACAUCCUAUUUCGUUUAAUGUCAAAAAUUCAGCAGUAUCAGGUUCGAAUCUGGUCUAGGGUUAGACGACGAUAUAGGAGGACCACCAGGAGAUUUUCCCUGAGGCUGGACAGUUAUGAGUGGCAGGGUGUGUGGGAUAGUAUGGGCAAGUACCUAGGCCAGUGGGCCCCUCCAGUGCUUUGGAACUUCACCACUGAACAAGUGCAACAUCCGGAAAAACUAGUAAAACACUUAAACGAGGUGUGCUGUCGUCCUGGUUAUACCAGAGAGGGACAAAUCUUGGCAACGUGCUGGGGCUUGGCCUAUGCCUACAGAGCCCUGCUCAACACUAUCCAGCACCUUCAAAGGGAAAAAAAUGUCUCUGGAUCUGAUGGCAAAGCAACAGACAAUGCAGCUAUGCCAACUACAAGCACAGCAGCUACUCAGACCCUGACCACAACAGUCAACACAGCUACUCCAAGUACAGCAGCUACAUCAACCCCAGUGACAAGCACAACAGCUACUCAAACCCUGACCACACCAGACAACGCAACUACUCCAACUUCAAAUACAGCAGUUACACCAACCCCAGUGACAAGCACAACAGCUACUCAAGCCCCGACAGCAACAGACAAUGUGGCUACUCCAAGCACCGCAGCCACACCAACCCCAGUGACAAGCACAGUAGCUACUCAAACCCCGACAGCAACAGACAAUAUGGCUACUCCAAGCACCACAGCUACACCAACCCCAGUGACAUGCACAGUAGCUAUUCAAACCCCGACAGCAACAGACAAUAUGGCUACUCCAAGCACCGCAGCUACACCAACCCCAGUGACAAGCACAGUAGCUACUCAAACCCCGACAGCAACAGAUAAUGCAGCUGUUGCUGUUACUCAACUCCCAAGCACAACAGCUGCACCAACCCCAGCAAUAGACAUUGCAACCACUCCAAUCCUAGUGGCAGACACUGCAGUCACUCCAACCACAGUGACAAACACUGCAGCUAAACCAAAUGUCCAGUUUGUGACAAUGUCUGUUGCCCCUGUAAGCAAAAGCAGACGAAAGGCACAAAGAGCAACCCGCGAAGCGAAGAAAGAUGAAGACCCAAUGCCAUUACUAUAUGCAACAGCAUCUGAACAAGAGUUACUACUACGUGGGUCAGAGGAAGAGGAAGAAGAAGAAGAGGUCACUUCUCGACCCCGGACCUCAACCGAACUGCGGAAUAUGCGAAAAGAUUUCACCCGUCUUCCAGGGGAGCACAUUGUCACCUGGUUGCUCCGGUGCUGGGACAAUGGGGCCGACGGUCACGAACUAGAAGGUAGGGAAGCCAAGCAGCUGGGAUCACUUGCUAAGGAAGGAGGAAUUGACAAAGCGAUUGCAAGAGAGAAGCGAGCCCUCAGUCUUUGGAGACGGCUCCUGGCAGCUGUGAAGGAAAGGUUUCCCUACAAAGACGAUAUUACGAAUCGCUCAGCCAGCUGGACCACGAUAGAGAAAGGCAUCCAGUCCCUGAGGGAAUCAGCCAUUAUAGAGAUGAUCUAUCGUAGGCC
ensembl:lncRNA